rnacentral:lncRNA from 1 species
GCGCUUCAUUCUAAAAAUGUGCGCACAGUCAACGCUUUUACAACCCUAUGAAGUUACAAAAAGAAGCAUUCAAUACUUAUAAUUACAUUUUUUAGCUAGGAUCACGAAAACACGAUUUACAUCAAGUUUUUAUUUAAUUUACCUGUGCACUUUAUUAUGGGACCUCGUGUCAUCAUGAAUGAUAAGUUUUAUUGUGUGAUACAACUGCUUAAGGAAUAACAGGUGAUGUGCAGUUAGCCAAUCAGAAUAACGUAUCAUAAUGAAACAUACAUCUAAUGUAAUUAUUCAAAAUUGUCGAAAGCAAAGUUUCAAUUGUGUUCUCGUAUGACAUAUGAAAUACUGAAUAACUGACGGACAGCCACACGAAAAAAAAAACCACAA